CAGCCGCCGCGGUAACACGGAGGGGGCUAGCGUUGUUCGGAAUUACUGGGCGUAAAGCGCACGUAGGCGGCUUGGUAAGUUAGAGGUGAAAGCCUGGGGCUCAACUCCAGAAUUGCCUUUAAGACUGCCGAGCUAGCAGGUGAGAGAGGUAAGUGGAAUUCCGAGUGUAGAGGUGAAAUUCGUAGAUAUUCGGAAGAACACCAGUGGCGAAGGCGGCUUACUGGCUCAUACUGGACGCUGAGGUGCGAAAGCGUGGGGAGCAAACAGGAUUAGAUACCCCCGUAGUCCCUGUCUCUUAUAC
rnacentral:rRNA from 1 species